rnacentral:lncRNA from 10 species
GAGGGGCUGGUUUUCAGUACUAUUGUACAGUAAAAAAUAUUUUUGUCUUGGUUUGCGCUCACCACCUCCUUUCACUAUCUUUUUUUUCCUUUCCUAUGUUUCUGACACUAAUGUAGUUUUAAUUUAAGAUGAUGAAUGAUCCAAAAGAUACAACAUGAAUCACUAGAGGAAUAUAGACGACAGACUCUGCUUAGUUUAAUUCUUUGUUUAAACUUAAUUUUAUUGGUUUACCAUUGUCAAUUAUGAAUGUUAUUAUAAUAUGUCUACAGUCUUGCUCUGGGGAGGAGAAAGUUACUUCCAGAAGGAUAAAAACAAUAGUUGCAUACAGUACAUACAAGGAACAUUAAAGGUGGUAAGGAAACAAGUAUCUAAGAUAAACUCUUGGCUCCAUUAGGGGGACAUGAAUUCCAGCAAGCGAAUUGGCUCACGGAAAUAAGAAAAUGCAUGAAAAUAUCACAGAAUCCAUAGUUUACAUGACAUAAAAGGGGCCAAACACACAGGCAGCCUGUAGGUUGGCAUGGGCUUCAUGUACUUUUCCAUGCUUGAGGAAAAGUAAUAAUCUCUUUCUGCCAAGUCGGUCUCAGUGUUAGUACCAAGGAGAGUCUUCCCAUGUUUGUGGAGAUUGUUCAGGUCUGGCUCAUAUGCUGAAAGGGAUGUACUGGAACCUUUACAAAUAUGAAAGCCAAAAAAAAUCGGCAGAAAAUGCUGAAAUGUUUGUAUGAGAAUUUAGCCUGCUUAGGGAAGAAGCCUGGGCAAUUAUGCCAAGGAGGACAACAAAAUAUUGCACUACAGUGAUGCAGCAAUUUGCAGAUUAUUUGGGAAAAUAUCCUUCAAUAAAAUGUCUACUUGGGUGUAAUGGGCAAUGGAGACAAAUUUCGAUAUCCUUUACUGAAUCAAAUGUGAGGUUAACUGAGGAGAAAAUCAAUCCUUUUUUUAAAAAAGUAUGGUUAUAUGUGACCUGGUCAAAACUUGAUUCAGCUACACAAAAUUAUCUGUUGUGUUUUAUAAGACACUCACUUGGAAUUAGGUGAGUAAUAUCUGGUUUACAAAUAUGUAGGUUAAAGUCACUUAAAAAGAAACGCUUCCAAAAUAUGUAGCUGUGCUAGAACAUCUAUUUCUUUUAUAUAGAGAAAAUGAAGGGCCAAUGAGAAGAAAUCUGUACCCUAGAAUGCAUUUUCCUGUUCUUCCUAUAUUAUUUCUAGUUCUAGAAACAGUUCUAAUAACAAAGUGUAAAAUUAAAAUGCAAUGCAGUGCAGUUCUUAAGACUAUGGGCGUUUGAGUCAAAUAGAGCUAAAUACAAAUUCUAUUUUUGUCAUUUACCGAUUGAAUGAACCUAGGAAAGCUAUUGAACUAGCCAACCCUCGCAUUUCCAUUACGAUAAUGGGAAUAAUACAAACUUUAUAGUUUCAAGAGGAUAAAAUGAGAGAAUAUAUGUUAAAAUAACAAAGUGACUGGCAUUUAAUAAAUUCUGAAAGAUUAUUUCACUUACCUGAGUAUUCAGAAAUAUUUAUUGAACAUUUGUGAUAUGCUAGACAAUGGUUCUAGGGAUAUAACAGUCUUUGAUAUCAGGAAGUCUGAUGAAAAGAAAAUUAAUAAACACUGAAACAAAUAAUAUGUCAGAAGUGUGGUCUGGGAUAAAAAAUGCAGAGUGCUAAAUGAUAGUGAUUUAUGGGCUGGAGAAAUUAUUUUUUUAUUUUUAUUUUCAAUUUUCAUUUAUUCACUUUUUACAGUGGUUAUUUUAUGACUGGUUUAUUUCAUUUAGCAUAAAGUUUUCAAGGUUCAUCCCUGUUGUAGUAUAUGCCAGAAUUUUGUUCUUUUGUUUUUCAGCUUUACUGAAGUACUAUUAAAAAAUAAAAAUGGUAUAAACAGGUAUUCAAGGCAUACAGAUUGAUAUUUUGAUAUGAAAAUAUAUUGUGAAAUGAUUACCACAAUCAAGGUAAUUAACCUAUUCAUCACCUCAAAUACUUACCUUUCCAUUUUUUUUUUUUUUUUUUUUUUUUUUUUUUUGUGGUGAGAAUACUUAAGUUCUACUCUCUUGGCAAGUUUCAAGUAUGCAAUACAUUGUUAUUACCCGUAGUAACUAUGAGGUAAAGUAUACAUCAUAUAAAAAUUAUUCAUCUUGCAACUGCAAAUUUGUACCCUCUGACCAACCUCUCCCAUCUCACCCAUCUCCUGACCUCUGGUAACCACACUCUCUUUCUAUGAGUUCCAUUUUUUAGACUCUGCAUGUAGGUGAGAUCAUGCAGUAUUUUUCUAUUUCUGGCUUAUGUCACUGAGCAUAAUAUCUUCCAGUUUCAUCCAUAUUGUUGCAAUGGCAGGAUUUCCUUCUUUUUUAGAGUCUGAAAUAUUCCUCUGUGUGUGUGUGUGUAUCAAGUUCUUUCUCCAUUCAUCCAUUGAUUUGAUGGACAUUUAGAUUGUUUCUAUACUUAACUAUUGUGAAUAAUGCUGAAAUGAAUGUGGGGCUGCAGGUAUGUCUUCACAUUAGUUAUUUUAUUUCUAUUGGAUAUAUAGCCAGAAGUAGCUUGUUGAAUCAUAUGAUAAUUCUCUUUUUAAUUUUUUGAUAAAUCUCCAUACUGCCUUCCACUAUGGCUGCACCAAUUUACAUUCCCACCAGCAAUGUACAUGACUUUCCUGUUCUCUAAAUCCUCACCAACAUUUACUGUCUUUUGAAUUUUUUUAAUAAUAAGCAUCCUAAAAGCUGUGAAGUGAUAGUUCUUUGAGUUCUGAUUUGCAUUUCCAUAAUGAUUAGUGAUGUUGAACACCUUUUCAUGUACCUAUUGACUAUUUAUAUGUCUUCUUUGGAAAAAUAUCUAUUUAGGACCCAUGCUCCAUUUUAUAUUGUGUUAUUAUUAUUAUUUGCUAUUAAGUUAUAUAAGUUUCUUAUAUAUUUUGGAUAUUAAUCCUUUGCCUUAUUGAAUUUUCUAUUGCUUAUAAUAGAAUAUCUGAAACUGAGUAAUUUAUUUUAAAAAAUAAAUAUAUUUCUUACAGUUACAGAGAUGAAGAAGUUCAAGGCCAAGGGGCUGCAUCUGGCGAGAACCUUCUUGCUGGCAAGGACUCUCUGGAGUGCCAGGGUCAUGAAGGGCAUCAUGUGGAGAAGGCACAGAGCAUGCUAGCCCAGGUCUCUCUUCCUCUUCUAUUUUUUAAUUUUUUUUAAAUUUUUUUAAUGUUUUGAGGCAGGAUCUUGCUGUUUCACUCAGGCUGGGGUGUAGUGGUGCAAUCACAGAUCACUGAAGCCUUGACCUCCCAGGUUAAAGUGAUCCUUCUGCCUCAGCCUUCUGAGUAGUUGGGACUACAGGUGCACACUACCAUGCCUGGCUAAUCUUUGUGUUUUUGUAGAGAUGGGGUUUUUGCCAUGUUUCCCAGGCUGAUUUCAAACACCUGAGCUCAAGCAAUGCGCCUGCUUUGGCCUCUCAAAGUGCUGGGCUUACAGGUGUGAGCCGCCAUGCCUGGCCUAUUUUAUCUUCUUAUAAACCAAUCAGUCUCACUCUCAUGAAAAUCCAUUAAUCCAUUAACUGAAUAAUCUAUGAAUGAAUUAACUCAGUCAUGAGGGCAGAUCCUUCACGGUCCAUUCACCUCUUAAAGGCCCUACUUCUCAAUACUGCAAAAUUAGAGAUUAAAUUUCAACAUGAAUUUUGGAGGAAACAAAUAUUCAAACAAUAGCAUUUUGCACCUAGCCACAUAAAACUCAUGUCCUUCUCACAUACAGUUACACCCAUUCCAUCUCCAUAGUCCCAGAGUCUUAACUUGCAUCAGCACCAGUUCAAAAGUCCAAAGUCCAGAGUUUUAUCUGUGAGCCUGCAAAAUCAAUACAAGUUAUCUACUUCCAUGAUGAGAUGGUGGUACAGGAACAAGAUAUUCUUAUUCCAAAAGGGAAAAAUAAGUAAAACAGAAGGAAUAACAGACCUCUAGUAAGUCUAAAACCCAGAGACAUUAAAUCUUAAAAAAGCAAAUAAUCUCUUUUAACUCCAUGUGCUACCUCUUGGGCACAUUGAGAUAACAGUUGGGUCUUUAAGGCCUCAGGCAGCUCUGUCCCCAUGUCUUUGCUGGCUGUAGCCCACAUGGCUACUUGUACAGGUUAGGGUUGGAUACCUGAAGCUUUCUCAGGCAAGCAUUCCAUGCUGCUGGUGACUCCACAGUUCUGGAGUCUCCCUGGUCAUAUAGCUGCCAUGGCUCCACAGGCAUUGUCCUGGUAGGGACUCUACAACAGCCUCAACUCCACAUUUUUUCUGCUCAGCACUGCCCUAGAAGGGGCUAUUUGUGGUGACUCUGCUCUAGGACAAUGGUCCCUAGGCUUUUGAUGACAUCUUUUGAAAUUUGGGUGGAGGCUGUGAAGCCUCCACAGCUCUUGCUUUCUGCAAGCCUUUAGAAUUGGCACCAUGUGGAUGUUGCUAAUACAACUUGUACCUUAUGGAGUUGCAAGAACCACAGCUGGGGCCACUGGAGCCAGGGCUGGAGUGGACAUGGAGUGGUGCACUAGGGUGCAAUAAGUGGGGUGCACUAAGCAGAGUCCAAGGUGGCCCUGGGUAAUGAACCCCUAGAGAGCAUCCAGGGCCUUCCCCAUAAAACCAUUUGGCCUCCAAGAUCUCUGGGAUUGUGCUGGGAAGGGCAGCCUUGAAAAUCUCUAAAAUGCUUUUGGGACUCUUUCUACCACUGUCAAGGAAUAGCAGCUGACUCCCUUCUAUCUAUGCUAAUCUCUUUAGCAAAUUGUCUUUGGGCUACACCCAGGACAAAGUAUGUUUUACUGAACACACGUUUUCACUCUUUCUAUGGUGGAGCUGAGAAUUUUCCAAAUCUUUCUGCCCUGCUUCUCUUUUAAUUUUAAUUUCUGUCUUUAAAUUAUUCCUUUUCUCCAGAAUCUCAGCAUAAGUUGCCAAAAGUAACCCUGCAAAUUCUUCCAUAUUUUGCAUAGAAAUUUCUUCUGCCAGAUAUCCUAGUUCAUCACUCUCAAGUUUAAUCUUUCACAAAGCCCUCAGGCAUGGACAUAAUUCAGCCAAAUUCUUUGCCAAUUUAUGACAAGAACGGCUUUUUCUUUUUUCAGUUCCCAAUACCUUGUUCAUCAGUUCCAACUGAAAUUGCAGCAGAAUAGCCUUUAAUCUGCAUAUGCUUAUCAGCAUCCUGGUCACAACAACUUAAUCAAUCUCUAAUGAGUUCCACACCUUCCCUAGUCAUCUUGUCUUCUAAGCCCUCACAAGAAUCUAGGCUUUUUAUAGUCUGCCCCCCUAACUUCUUCCAGCCUCUCCCCAUUACCCAGUUCCAAAGCCACUUCUGCAUUUUCUGGUAUUUAUUAUCAGCAAUAUGCCAUUUUUUGGUACCAAUUUUCUGUCUUAAUCCAUUUUCUGUUACUUAUAAAAAAAAUACCUGAAAGUAGCUAUCUUACAAAGAGAAAAAGUAUAUUUCUUUCAUUUAUGGAGGCUGAGAAUACCAAGAUCAAAGAAUGACAGGUUAGAUCUCACUAAGGCAGGCCUCCAUAACUACUGUUUCAGUACUGACUGAGUGGUUAAGUUAAAUAUUAAAAGCUAAAAAAAGCCAGUGCCUUUAUUCAAAGACUGGAAGGUAACAAAAGGCCACCAAGAGUUUCUCCCUAGGCCUUUCCUGGGCCUUAAAGCAUGAUAAAAUAAUGGAGGGAUUCUUAAUAAGACCCAUUUAAGAUUAAACAAGUUUUAUUCGGAGGUCUGAAGAAACUCCCCAGGCCUCCACAAACAAGUUUAUUGGGGGUCUGAAGGAACUCUCCAAACCUCCCUGAUUUAGCAGAAGAUAAGAUAAGGGUAAUCACCCGAGCACCUGGACCAAUUUAGAUUAAGUAAAUUUACUGAGGCUCCAGAAGAAGGUCUUUAGGACUCAGACCUUAAUUAUAGAUUAAAAGAAGUUAAUCACUUAUGUCUUUAGAUGAAUGCACACUUACAUGUAAACAUAUAGCUUAGAAGGUAUAUAAACUCUGGAAAACUGUAAUUUUGAGUUGGUCUGGCAGUAAUUUCCAGGCCUUCUCCCUGUAACCAGUUGCAGAAAUAAAAACUCUCUUCCUACCCAGUUCAUUUGCAUCUUGUUAUUGGGCACGAGAAAUAGCAGCCCAAUCCUCAGUUUGGUCAGGAACAAAAGGGCUUCAUCUUUUGAGGGCCUUUGUGCUGGCAGGACUCUCCAUGGAGUCCUGAGGCAGUUCAGAAUGCAAAUGCAAUAGAUUCAUUGCCAGAUGUGCACAGCAAGUCAAUAUGCCAAGACACCAAUUUGCAGCAGGGAAAAAGUAUUAAUCAUGGGGCUGCUGAAUGAGCAGAUGAGAGAAACUUCAAAUUUUGGAGGGGGCCAAAGUGUAGAGAUUAUCAGUUGGUCAAUGAGUGCAGGGUGAAGUUAUGGGCUAUGCAUGCUAGCUUGGGUCUUUCUUCCUUUUCUUUAAAACCACUAGUUCUACUUCAGUGAUAACCCAUUAAUCAUUAACUCAGUAAUCCAUUAAUCUGUAAAUGGGUCCCAGUCACCUCUUAAAGGCCCCACUUCUCACUACUGCCACAUUGGAAAUUAAAUUUCAAAACAUGAGUUUUGAAGGGGACAGAUACUCAAAGGAUAGCAUCAUUAUUUGAUAUAUGGUUUGCAACUAUUUUUUUCCCAUUAUAUAGGUCACCUUUAUAUUUUGUUGAUUAUUUUGUUUGCUGUAAAGAGACUUAAUUUUGAUGUAGUCCCACUCGUUUUGUUUGUUUGCUUGCCUUUUAUGCAUGCGCUUUCAAUAUCAUAUCCAAAAAUCAUUGCCAAGACCAAGACCCUUGUAAAGGAGAUUCUCCAUGAUUUAUUCUAGGAGUUUUGUAAUUUUAGAUCUUACAUUUAAAUUAUUAAUGCAUUUUAAGUCGAAUAUUGUAUAAGGUGAAAGCUAAAAAUCCAACCUCAUUUUGUCACCAGUCAAUAUACAGUUUUCCCAAUUUGAUAUACAGUUUUCCCAACACCAUUUAUUCUGUGUAUUCUUGGCACCUUUGUCAAAGAUUUGAUCAUGUAUAUGUGGGUUUACUUCUGGGCUUUUUACUCUGUUCCAUUGGGAUGUGUUUUUUUAUGCUAAUACCAAAUUAUUUUGACUAGGGCUUUGUAAUAUUAAUUUAGAAUCAGGAAAUAUGAUGGAUCCAUCUUUGAUUUUCCUACUCAAGCUUACUUUAGCUAUUCAGGGUGUUUUGUGGUUCCAUAUGGAUUUUAUAAUUGAUUUUUCUAUUACUGUAAAAAUGUCAUUGGAAUAUUUUCUUUUUUUUUGUGAUGGAGUCUCGCUCUGUUGCCCAGGCUGGAGUGCAGUGGCAUGAUCUCGGCUCACUGCAAACUCCGCCUCCUGGGUUCAUGCCAUUCUCCUGCCUUAGCCUCCCGAGUAGCUGGGACUACAGGCUCCCACCACCAUGCCCGGCUAAUUUUUUUUAUUUUUGGUAGAGACAGGUUUCAUGCGCGUUUGUGUGAAGAGACCACCAAACAGGGUUUGUGUGAGCAACAUGGCUGUUUAUUUCACCUGGGUGCAGGCGGGCUGAGUCUGAAAAGAGAGUCAGCGAAGGGAGAUAGGGGUGGGGCCGUUUUUUAGGAUUUGGGAAGGUAAUGGAAAAUUACAGUCAAAGGGGGUUGUUCUCUGGUGGGCAGGGUUGGGGGUCACAAGGUGCUCAGUGGGGGAGCUUCUGAGCCAGGAGAAGGAAAUUCACAGGGUUAAUCACUCAGUUAAGGUGGGGCAGGAACAAAUCACAAUGGUGGAAUGUCAUCAGUUAAGGCGGGGCAGGGCCUUUUCACUUCUUUUGUGAUUCUUCAGUUACUUCAGGCCAUCUGGGCAUAUAUGUGCAAGUCACAGGAGAUGCGAUGGCUUGGCUUGGGCUCAGAGGCCUGACAAUCCUGCCUUCUUAUAUUAAUAAGAAAAAUAAAACAGUGUUGAAGUCUUGGGGUGGUGAAAAUUUUGGGGGGGUGAUAUGGAGAGAGAAUGGACGAUGUUUCUCAGGGCUGCUUCAAGCGGGAUUAGGGGCGGCGUGGGAACCUAGAGUGGGAGAGAUUAAGCUGAAGGAAGAUUUUGUGGUAAGGGGUGAUAUUGUGGGGUUGUUAGAAGAAACAUUUGUCAUUUAGAAUGAUUGGUGAUGGCCUGGAUACGGUUUUGUAUGAAUUGAAAAACUAAAUGGAAUAAGAGAAGGAGAAAAACAGGUAUAAAAGGUCUAAGAAUUGGGAGGACCUAGGACAUCUGAUUAGAGAGUGCCUAAGGAGAUUCAGCAUAGUCCUGCCAGCCAAGAUUAUUUAUUUACUUCAAGAGUUAAGAGUGGCGGUUUGGGGAUAGCACGAGGAGAUAUCAGCUGUGAUGGCUUGGAGAAACAGUGUAAACCGGCAGUGUAAACAAGAGCAGGGCAUGUAUGAGUAGUUGAGAACGGAGAAUAGGAGUAUGACUAGACAGAAGAUAGUAGGGAUGACAAGUUUUUUUUGGGGCACACUCUAAGUUGGUCCGGUGUUUGGAAUGAGACUGGGGCCUAAUAAAAAGGAGCAUCUAUACAGGAGCCCAAAUGGGCUGUACCUUGUAGCAUUCUGAGGACGGGUCUGACUUCUGAGAAGGGAAAGUGGUAAAAGUAUUGUCCAGUUCUUUUUAAGUUGGUGGCUGAGCUUGGUGAGGUGUGUUUUUGAAAGACCUUUAGUCCGUUCUACUUUUCUUGAAGACAGACGACUAUAAGGGAUAUAAAGGUUUCACUGAAUACUAAGAGCCUGAAAAACUGCUUGGCUGAUUUGACUAAUAAAGGUUGGUCUGUUAUCAGACUGUAUAGAGGUGGGAAGGCUAAACUGAGGGAUUAUGUCUGACAGAAGGGAAGAAAUGACUGCAGUGGCCUUCUCAGACCCUGUAGGAAAGGCCUCUACCUAUCUAGUGAAAGUGUCUACUUAGACUAAGAGGUAUUUUAGUUUUUGUGACUCAGGGCAUGUUGAGUAAAGCUAAUUUGCCAGUUCCGGGGGCGGGGGCAGGGGGCAAAUCCUCAAGUUUGAUGUGUAGGGAAGGGAGGGGUCCUGAAUAAUCCUUGAGGAGUAGUAGAAUAGCAGAUAGAAUAGCAGAUGGAACACUGAGAAAUUAUUUCCUUGAGGAUAGAUUUCUACAAUGGAAAGGAAAUGAGAGGUUCUAAGAGGCGGGCUAGUGGCUUGUACUAUAGCAUAGCCUGCCUUUGCUGGUGUGUGGCGAUUAGGCCUGGUGGAACUGCCAUCAAUAAAUCAAGCGUGAUCAGGGUGAGGAACAGGAAAGAAGGAAAUAUGGGGAAAUGUGGUGAAUGUCAGGUGGAUCAGAGACAUACAGUCAUGGGGGUCAGGUGUGGUAUCAGGAAUAAUGUGGGAGGCCAGAUUGAAGUCUGGGCCAGGAACAAUGGUAAUUGUGGGACUUAACAAAGAGUGAGUACAGCUGAAGGAGCCGGGGAGCAGAAAGUAUAUGCAUCAGGUAUGAGGAAGAAAAUAGAUUUUGGAAGUUAUGAGAAAUGUAGAGAGUAAGUUGAGCAUAGUUUAUGAUUUUUAGGGCCUCUAAAAGUAUUAGGGUGGCAGCAGCCGCUGCACGGAGACAUGAGGGCUAGGCUAAAACAGUAAGGUCAAGUUGUUUGGACAGAAAGGCUACAGGGUGCGGUCCUGGCUCUUGUGUAAGAAUUCUGACCACACUAACCAUGCCUAGGAAGGAAAGGAGUUGUUGUUUUGUAAGGGAUUGAGGUUGGGGAGAUUAAUUGGACACGAUCAGCAGGGAGAGCACCUGUGUUUUUAUGAGAAUUAUGCUGAGAUAGGUAACAGAUGAGGGUGAAAUUUGGGCUUGACUGAAGUAAUGGGGGCUGUCUGUGAAGCCUUGCGGCAGUACAGCCCAGGUAAUUUGCUGAGCCUAAUGGGUGUUAGGGUCAGUCCAGCUGAAAGCGAAGAGAGGCUGGGAUGAUGGGUGCAAAGGAAUAGUAAAGAAAACAUGUUUGAGAUCCAGAACAGAAUAAUGGAUUGUGGAGGGAGGUAUUGAGGAUAGGAGAGUAUAUGGGUUUGGCACCAUAGGGUGGAUAGGCAAAACAAUUUGGUUGAUAAGGCAUAGAUCCCGAACUAACUUGGAAGGCUUGUCUGGUUUUAGGACAGGUAUAAUGGGGGAAUUGUAAGGAGAGUUUAUAGGCUUUAAAAGGCCAUGCUGUAGCACGCAAGUGAUAACAGGCUUUAAUCCUUUCAAAGCAUGGUGUGGGAUGAGAUAUUGGCAUUGAGCGGGGUAAGGGUGAUUAGGUUUUAAUGAGAUAGUAAGGGGUGCAUGAUCAGUUACCAAGGAGGGAGUAGAGGUAUCUUAUUCCUGUGGGUUAAGGUGGGGGAAUACAAGAGGAGGACGCAAAGGAGGCUUUGGAUUGGGAAGAAGGGCAGCAAUGAGAUGUAGCUGUAAUCCAGGACUAGUCAGGGAAGCAGAUAAUUUAGUUAAAGUGUCUCGGCCUAAUAAGGGAACUGAGCAGGUGGGGAUAACUAAAAGAGUGCUUAGAAGAGUAUUGUCUCAGUUGGCACCAGAGUUGGGGAGUUUUAAGAGGUUUAGAAGCCUGGCCGUCAAUACCUACAACAGUUACGGAGGCAAGGGAAACAGGCCCUUGAAAAGAAGGUAAUGUGGAGUGGGUAGGCUCCAUAUUGAUUAAGGGGACGGACUUACCUUCCACUGUGAGAGUUACUCGAAGCUCAGCGUCUGUGAUGAUCUAUGGGGCUUUCGAGGUGAUCGGGCAGCGUCAGUCUUCAGCUGCUAAGCCGAGAAGGAGUCAGAGAGCCUUGGGCCAGAAUUCCAGGGGCUCUGGGAGUGCCUGCCAGGUGAGUUGAACAGUCCGAUUUCCAGUGGGGUCCCGCACAGAUGGACACGGCUUAGGAGGAAUCCUGGGCUGCAGGCAUUCCUUGGCCUGGUGGUCAGAUUUCUGGCACUUGUAGCAAGCUCCUGUGGGAGGAGGUUCUGGAGGAACUCCUGGCUGCUGUGGUUCAGGCGUUUGGAAGUUCUUGUGUGCUGGAGAUGUGGCUGGGGUUUGUCUCACAGUGGAGGCAAGGAAUUGCAACUUUUUUUUUAUUAUUGUACGCCUUGAAGGCUGGAGGGCAAUGGCGUGGUUUUGCUCACUGCAACCUCCGCCUUCCAGGUUCAAGGAUUCUUCUGCAUCAGCCUUGCAAUUAGCUAGGAAUACAGCAUCCGUGUACCUUCUUCCUCUUGGUCACUAGACAAGAGCCUGGAACUCACUGAACUGUGGGAGUGAAAGAGCUGUAACUCUCCUGCUCUCUGAUCUAUGGACAGGGGGACUAAAAGAGCUAUAACACUCCUGCCUUGCAAACUACAGUAGUAAAAAAGAAACACAAAAGUACCAUCAAAAGUUUCUGGUGAAAAUUGAAUUACCAAAAACAUUGAAAGUGCUUAAAACAGUACCUGCAACAUAGUAAGAGCUCAACAAACGUUAUUCAUUUAUGUUCAUAAUUUGGAUUGAUAAAUUACCCUACUGAAAAAUAAAUACUUUCAGAUUGAAUUUAAAAGCAAUAAUAAAAUCUCUUGAUGCUUAAAAGAGAUGAACAAGACAGCAAAUAAACUUCAAUGCUGAAAAUAAGAACAAUAUACAAAUUUUUAUCAAGGAAAUCUCAGGGACCCUGUAAACAGUCGUUCUGUUCAUAUUUGUUGUUGUUUCUUUAGAGGAGGGCAUCUAGGCAAUAAGAAAACUGGAAUGUGAAAUCUAUCUACUUUUCUGUUUCCAAAGCUCAGAAUUAUGUUAAUUUUACUGAACCAACUAACAGGAGGGGUGACUUUUUGUCAUUUAUAGAAAAGCAUUAUAGAUAAUAUUCAGGGGAUUCACUAAAAUAACAAGACACUCUGUGCAAUUGCCUAUUGGUAUUUGAGUUCCAGUGUAAAACCUAAAAUAAUUUGUUUAAAGUUAAAACAGUAUAACAACAUGACUUUAAAAGUUAUUACUUCACAUUCCAAGAUCAGAGAUCCUACCAUCUCUGGGGCCUGCCAAAAGUCGAUGAUACAGUCAUUUCAGCAGAAUCAUUCACUUGAUUACAUAAAGGGAAGAUUGGGAAAGAAAAGAUGGUGACUUUUGAGGAGAGUGCAGAGUGCCUAAAGGAAGAUCAUUGUGCUUCUCUAUCUGCUGUGAUAAAGGGGAGAGAGGGACACUUCUCUCUAGCAAAAGAUCUGCUUCUUCUGGACUUUGGACACAAGCUUAGGAAAGAAUUGGCAGAGCUGAUAGAGAGUGUCAUUAGCAGAAGCAUGCAUUUCCACCAUGUGGUUUGAAAAGUACCUAUGAAAUUUGCUGGGUUUGAUGGACGCCACUGAGGGGAACCUGACUUGAAGCAUCUUACUACUGCCCCUCCUGGAACCACUCUGUGCAUAGGAAUACUCAACUGAUGACAAUGAGUGAUUUAUGACACAACUGAAAAGAGAAGGAAGAAGCCGAGCCUAUGCUGGGAAUUCUAUGCCCAGAGUCUGCAUAGUGUACAGCUUUAUAAAACCCCUAAAUGUGUCUGACACAGAGUUUUCAUUUGGACUUGCAGCCUUAGGAAGGAGCAACAGCCUGCAGAAAUUCUUGUGAUAUUUUCAACGUACUUUAAGUGAGACACUGAAAAUUUGCUACUCUCCCAAUAAUAUUACGAAUUAUGAAGUCAUGACUCAUCUUUUCCAUUAUAUAGCUUUAUGAAAUUCACUUAAAGAUGAUUAUUUAAAAGCGUGUUUAGUAGGUAAGAAUAUACUAAGAAGAUAUUAUUAAAUGGUUUAAUUAUAUCAUGAAUCCUUUUAUAGUUUAGGAAUGUUAUUUUUAAUUAGCAAUUCUAGACAUGACUGGAUGGUGAGAACCAAGAUCAUAAUGCCAGCUGUGUUUGGCUAGCAUUAGAUGUGAUCUUCUGUUGAUCUUGGUUUGAGCCUUAAUCUUAUCCUCCUUUGUUGCUAUUGGAUGGUAAAAGCACCAUAAUGUUGAUCGUGCCAAAAAGGAAUAUUUAAACACUAACACUGCUCAAAGGUCUGAGAACUUAAGCUAACAAAAUUAUGGUUCUUUUUUUCCUCUCUUUCUGGCAUUUGGUUAAAUAGCUUCUAAUUACCCAAUUUGGGAGAAGUUCUGAAACCAUGUCCCAAAGAGUUAAAGCAACCAGUGACUAACAGAAAUUCUUGAGUUUGCAGAAUGGUGGAUAAGAAAGGAAACAACUUGCUAAAACACUGAAACUCCCUCCACUUAUGAGAUAAAAGAACUGGCUGAAAUCAGUUUGGUCAACUGGAGUUUGUGCGGAAGUAGCUUGCUGACAUCAUAGCCUGAAUUUUCAUUGCAUGUCUCAUACCAACUCCCUCCAGAAUCUGCACAUGCAAAUGAGUUAGCAUAAAAAAGGUAACUGUGCAUGCCCAAGGACUUUCCAGACCUCUCCUUUCCUUCCACCAAUAAAACCUGAUAAUCUCAGAAUCCAACCCCUGAAUCUUUUCUAAUGAAAAUAUAGUCUUGAAGCCAGCACAGGGAGACAGCUUGGAGCUUGACUCCUGUCUCCUCGGGAGUGGACUUUCAAUAUAAAGCUUUUCUGUCCUCAAAAACCUGGUAUAGUAUUGGCUUCUAGCGUAUUCAGCAGCAAGCCCCUUUUGCUUGAUAAAGUUCCAGGAUCCUUCCUGCCAGAGGUUUUGCAUGUCCCUCUUUUUCCAUUGCUUCUCUUGGCCCCUAACAUCUGUUCAUCUCAUUAACUCUUACUCUGUUUUUCAAUUCAAAAACAAUAAUAGCUUUAAAGAAACAUUCCUAACCUUCUCAAAUGCAUUCGUUUUUCUAAUGUAUACUUUAAUAGAACAAUGUACUUCUUCCUCUCAUCUCUCUCACAACAUAAAUUUACCCUAGUGUGAUUUGGUGAUAAAUAUCUGUCACUAUACUAGAUUGUAUAUUCAAGUCAUGUGGAGAAUGUGUCUGUUUUCGUUCAUGAUGGUGUCUACAUUAAAUAAUCCAAUGUGACAAGAAAUAUUUGUUCAAUGAAUGAGCUCCCUGAUGAAUGGAUAAAAUGAUGCUCUGAUAUGUAUGAAUGUUGAUAUUAGACACACUUAUCAAUUAUAUGUACUGUAAAUAGCAUGUAGUAGCAUUUCAAUGAGUAUUUGCUGAUUGACAGAUUUGACUAUCAAUCCCUGCUCUGAUUUCCUUUUGGGAUUUGAUUAUAUUCUUUGUACCCCUUCCAGCUUUAUUAAAGUAUAAUUGACAAAUAAGAU